GCACCCGUAGCUCAGCUGGAUAGAGCAGUGGCUUGCGGAGCCAAAGGUCACAGGUUCAAAUCCUGUCGGGUGCACCA
rnacentral:tRNA from 1 species